rnacentral:lncRNA from 1 species
UCCCCUAUCACCACGCCUGGUCCGCAGUGAUGCUCAAAAAAGAUCUGUUGGUAGGCAAUGCGAAGGUGCAUUCAUGUCAUCCUGCAGGAGGAAUUCUCCACGAGUUUUGAGCAGCCUCGGUUUUCCCACCACCUCCAAAUCAUGCAAGACACAGGGUAAGAGCAAAGACAAGGUGGCUGUGGCCCAUGUCCACCAUCUCGGGGCGUCCCUUCUCUUCUCUCCUCCUUGGGCAGGGAGACCAUCGGGGUGCAACCUGGCUGGGGCAGGGAGGAAGUGCAGGGCCUGGCCAGAGCGGGCCUGGCCACGGGCAAGGGACAGCGACCUCCUGGGCCAGGAUAGGUGAGAGCGGCGCAGGCCCGGGACCGGCGUAGGCCCGGGACCGGCGUGGCGGCGCUGCUGGUGAGCAGCCAUCAGAGGGCGCCAGAGAGCCAGGAGCGGCCUGCGGAGGAGCCCGCGCUGGCCCCGAUGCCCAGGUCCGCCCCGCGCGGACCCACCGAGCCCGCGCUCAGACGCCCCAGCUCCACCGAGAGGCCGCUUGCGCCGGGUCCUUCUUCUUCCCCAAGUGUAGGCAGAUCCACCGGAGUCAUGGCCAGGACUUCCGGCAGCUCCGAAGUCACUGGCAAGCCCCGAGGCAGGGAUGGCCUGCCAGGAGGGAGGAGGACGACGUCCCUCCCGAAGAGAAGAGGCUGCGGCUGUUGCUGGAGGGGGAAGCGCACAGCCCCAGGACUGCGAGGACGGGGAGGACGCGCCGCGGCCGGGAAGGGGGGAGACCGUCACUCAGACAGGUGGCGACGGCAGAGGGGUGCAGGCAGAGCCCCCGGAGCCAUGGCCAGCCCUUCCGGCAGAUCUGAAGCCACUGGCAAGCCCCGAGGCAGGGAUGGCCGGCCCAGGAGGGAGGAGGACGACGUCCCUCCCGAAGAGAAGAGGCUGCGGCUGUUGCUGGAGGGGGAAGCGCACAGCCCGAGGACUGCGAGAACGGGGAGGACGCGCCGCGGCCGGGCAGGGAGGACACCGGGACCCAGACAGGUGGCGACGGCAGAGUAA